CUCCGAUCCGAUCAAAAUAAUCCGUCGUUACAAGCCUAAUGUUUUUAAUUAAUAAAGCCUGGACUGAUUAAUAUUAAUGGGAAUCAAACGUAUAAUAUUUUAAUUUUGAGAGUAAAUUAAUAAGAGAUAUAUAUCAACUACGGUGCAUCAAAUUUUUCAAAACAACGAGAAACUGCAAUUUGCCAUUUCUUAAACCAACCCCUGCCAAAACAAAGGCAGGGAUGCAUGGAUUAAAAUUAAAUCAUCCCAGAAGAAGAAAAUUAAAAGCGAACUACAUAUUUCACAAAAUUGACUAUACAAAGUUGUUGCGAAUAACUACUACUAGUGAUUAUUACCACAGCUUGAUCCUCUUCAAUCUUCAUAAAACCUUCAAAAGUGGCUUCAUAAUUAAUCUUGCAACAUUUACUACUUGAGAAGGGUAUUCAUUGAAGCUUUAUCAUUGUGUUCCUCAGCAACUUCUUCUGUGAUGGUCUCCAAAGCAGGCGAAUUAGAAGGCUUUGUUGGGAAAAUUAUUGGUGCCGGGGCAACCUCCAUCCACGAACUUAGGUUUCUGAUUCCCUUAGCCAUUGAUGAAUUCAACUACAAAAAUAUUUGUGACUUUUCUGCUCCCAAAUUUGCUGAACCUUUGAAAUAGAAACAAAUUUUCUCUCCUCCUCCUAUGUCUAGAAAGAAGAGAGCUUUGGUUGGCCACAAGAGUAUUUCGGAAAAAGGGUUUUAGUUUGGUUUGUGAGACAUAACCAAGACCCUUGUGUGUAUUUAUAUGUAAAAAAAAGUUAGUGAAAGCUAAGAAUAGAGAGCUAAAAUCACGAGUUUUUAGGAGGAAAUAUCUUAAGAUUAAGACCACCACACAUAUUGGUAUACACGUGAGAAUAAAAUCAAAAGUGAUUCUAGACAUAUUCGUUCCAAGAAAAAUUAGUAGCUAGGGCUCAUGAAGAAGCGGUGCGUGGGGCUAAUUCUGGAACCACGUAGGAGUCUGGUGCAUAAUUCAAUGCCUUCCGUCCAAUUAGUCUAAAAUUAAUUAAUUGCCUGUUGGAGAGGGAAAAGAAAAGGUCAGCAACUCCUCCUUUUUAUCCUUCUCCAUCAAGUUGUGCAUGUUAUAACUUAUUAUUUAUGUUUACAGUUGAAUGAUAAUAAACAAUUCAUACCAUAUUAUAUAUAUAUAAUUCUUAUUUUUAUGAUGUAUUUUUUAUAUAAAAAUAUUAUUGAUAUAAAAUAUUCAUUGAUAAGUAAUUUUUUAUUAAUUUAAUAAAUUUUUCUUUUCAAUCAUUUUUUUUAAUUCAAAAUGUUCGAACUCUAAUAUUAUCUUAUUUUUAGACAUGUAUCUUAAAAAUAAUUUUAAAAUCCGAUUGAUAAAAAAACAUUAUCCUUUUACAACUAGGCAAGCAAAAGAACCCAAUCAAAUACCAACAUGACAGCUUUCAGUACUACUCGAUCCAGCUUACUGUUUUAACAGGUAUCCUAUAUUCGAUGAUUCACACUGUAUGAGAACAUGAAUAAAGGUCAAUAAUUGCAAAUUCUAGAUGUUUCCUGUUCUAGUUAUAGUCAUUUUCCUUAGCAAUAUAAGUAACAAAUAAUUUUUUCUCCCGUCUGACCAAUACUGUAACCACUACCCAAAGUGCUGCGAAUCUGAGAAAGACGCUACUCACAUGAGGGUAAACGUUCGUACUUUAUUGAAUCGGCCCUUUAACUCAGGACCUCUAAAGUGGUAGAUUGAAGUUAAUCCAGUCCAUUGAACCCAAAGGAUCCGUUUGGUUGGACGGAAGAAAAAUAAGAAAGAAACAAAAAAAAAUUGAAAUUUGAAUUUAAAAGAAAAUAAAAGAAAAGAAAAAAAAAUAUUUCUAAAAAUCAACUUUUCUUUUCAUUUUUUAUCAAACAGAAGAAAAUAUUUGGUUAGUAAUGUUUUCUUUCUUGUCACUCUCUCUUACCAAACGGACCAAAAACCUCUUUUAUUUUAUUGAUCUAAAAAAUCAGAUUUUCUUUUUAUUCUUUUCAUGUGGUGUGAUAGGCAAUGUCAUUGUUUUGUUGUGUGAUUGAGUAAUGUUUUUAGACUAUUGAAAUAAUAAAAAAAAUGAGAUGUUACCAUAAGAUACAUAGGCAUGAUUAAAAUCUUAAAUUUUUAAGCUAAAAUCUAAAAAGAAUAAGGAUAAUUUUAAAAAAAAUUCUUUGGUCAACUCAUUAAUGACCUAGAUGUUAAUAAUUGAAUUUUGGUUUAUAAAUAAAAAUUAGAAGCAUGAAAGAAAAUUAGUAAUUAAUGUAAGUAAAGUUAAAAAUUAAAAAGGAAUAAUUAAGGUUGAUUAAUGGUGAUCUAGACUUCAUAGAAUUAGAAAAAGGAUAAUUAAGUCAUAAGAAUUUAAAGUGAAGGGCAUUUUUGUAAAUGAUUAUAUAAUUAGUUUUAAAAUAGAACUUUAGUUUAAUUAGUUGGUAACUAAUUUAAGUGUCUAAUUAUAUGAUGUAUAAUAAUUAAAAUAAGUUAAAGUUGUAACACCUUCAAAAAUUACAACUCAUAUUGACAGAGAAAACAUUGUGUUGUGUCAUCUGUGCAUGUAUGAAUUUAAUUUCAAUUGUCAUAUAUUUUUAAUCAUAGAAUUUUGUGCUAUGUGUGUGUUUGUGUUUUAUCAUUUUCGGCAAAAACUCUACUUUAUCCUUUUAUAGUUUGUUUUGGAAAAGUACAAGAAGCCAUUUAAGGCAUGGCUGAGCUCAUGGAGAAGACGGCAAGGGUUGUCCAAGCUGCCAAUUAGUCAUAUUAAUGAUUAUUCAAAGUGUUUAGAUUAAGAAGAUAAGGAUUAGGUCUUGUAAUUCCAUUGGUCCAAGCAUUUCACCUACAAUAAGUGUUGUUUUUAAAAGCCAAAGUCUAGGUCAAUUCUCCCAUUUUGCUAAAGCUUUUAGAGAAAGAGGAGGCUAUAUUUUUCUUCUUCUUCCAAGUUUUACCAAGUGUUGUUGAGCCCUUCUUUCAUCAAGCUUAGGUAAGUGACCUUCAUUUUCAACACUAAGCUUGAUUUUCACUUCAUUUUCUUGCUCUAUUCUCACUUGUAGUUUCAAAACCUUAUUUUUCACUCUUGAAGGUUGGAAACUUGAAUCUAAACCCCCUCAUUCUUCCUUCUAAAUUUCAUAGAAACUACAAGAGGUAAGGGGAGUCUCUCCAACUUUUGAACCAUAUGCUUGUUGUUCAACUUUCUGGAACAUUUUGUUUUGAAAUUUUGAGCUAGCUUCCAUGUCCUGAAUUUAUGUGCUGAGUUGUUUUCCUUGAGUUUUUUAUGUCAAAAAUGAGUUCUUUGCAUGUUAAAACAUAGUGGUAGCCUUAAAUUUCACUUAAAUCAGAGUUUCCUAGCAAAACUUACAUUAAAACAAGUUUAAGGACCUUUAAUAAAAUGAAAAAUGUGUCACGAAUUUGGACUGAGAGUUACAACACUAUGAAUUGUUUUUAUUAAAACUUUGACAUAAAAAAUGAGUUUGUUAGGUUUGAAAAUGUAGGAUAGCAUAUAAGAUUUACAAAAAUCUAACCCUUAGAGCACCGAGAGCAUUAAAAAUAAGUUAACUUUGGAUUUUGUUAGGUUUGAACGAUAGAGUUAUUUUAAACAAUAAAUAACCUAACUUUGGAAUUUGUGCCUCCAUAUAAAUUAUCUUAGAGUUAUUUAUUUUUUGGAACUAUUGAUUUAUCUAUUAUUAUGUUGCUGAGAUAAAUGCAAGAUCUGAUGAUUGAUGCAUGUUCUAAAAUUGUGAUGAUUCUUUGUUGAUAAAAUUAUUGAAAUGUCUGCCUGUAUUUUAUUAUGAUUAUUGAAUGAUAAGAUUGCCAGAGUGUGAACUCUGACAAUUAUAUAUGGGGCAUGCGGAUUUAUUUUAUAAUGUGUGUGUGUGUGUGUGUGCAUAUUGUCAUUUUUAUUUGUAUGUAUUGUGGUUUGAGUCCGAGGUUGUUUAACCCUCCGCAAAUUAUUUGUUACGUUUAGUUAGAAAAUUAUAAUUACAAUCAUUAUAUCGUCCAAUUGUUUGUGUGUGACAAGUGAUUCUUUUGCUUAAAGGGCCACGGUUCCCUAAGAGUAAUGUGUAGGCUUGAAUCUCGUCUUUUUUUUUUUCUUGUUUGCUUGUUUGUAUGUGUUCGUUGAUGUAUGUGGUACGAGGACUACGCACACAAUGUGGUGGCAAGAUUCAAGAGGACUAGAUAAAGAGUAAAAGAAACAGUGAUUCUAUUUCUUUCUGUGAGAGGGAGAUGUUGCAUUAAGGAAGUGGAUGAUAGAUAAAGAUACACUGAAGUGUAAUGGGCGGAGAGGUUCGAAGAACCUAAAGGAAUUAGCGAGCGGUGCCUACCCGACAUUUGGUGCACUCAUUUGGCGCUGGUAACUCAUAGGCCUCACUUUGCUACUCUUGACGGGCUCGAAGACUAUGUUUUUUUAGUUAGGAGAUAAGGGGUCGAUGUAUGAUGUAUCUAUAUGCAACAAUCACGCCCGACUGUCAUCCACAUGAUUUUUUAAGACCAUCAAGACUUGGGAGGAUUGGUGUCAAUGAUUGAGCCCUAUUGUGAAUUAAGUGUGCUAGUUACACGUAGUGGUUACAUAGAUUGUAUGUUUUAAUUUUGUUUUACUUGGUCUGUUGUUUGUGGUGUUUGAGGAGCGGAGGACUCACCCCUACAACCAACAACUUUCAGGUACUGAUGAUGUUGAGUACACCAAGGCGUCUACGGGCUCAGUAUAGCUCGCAAAGAGAGUGGGUAUGACCCUGCACCGUAACAAGGACUACACAUUACACCUAUCAUACUUGAGACCAUGUAGUGCCAACUGAUAGACCAGAUACAACGUGCGUUGAGUGCACCCAGUAGAGGUUAUAGAGGGCCAAAGUGACCAUUCAGACAUGUAGCUAAGGAGUAUUGAGAACUACUGAGGCAGUUGGAAUCGACGUUUGAGGAGGAUAGCCACGAUUCUUC
rnacentral:lncRNA from 1 species